GACUCGUCCUUGUCGUCCGACUAUCCAAACAAGUGAAAAAUAGAGAAUUUGGUAGAAGUAAAAGAAAAAGAGUCAUUUUCCGGUCAAACAUCCGUUAGACAAGUUACUCAGAAUGAUUUUCUUCCGACUUUUUGGUACAAAGAAUUUUUAAUAAAACAUCAUUUUUAAUCAUUUGUAAUGUGAUAUUUUGAGAUUUAUGAGCAUCUGAUAUUGUAACUGAUUGCAGAUUGAGUUGAAUGUAUGAGCUGAAACAAUAAAUAGAUUCAAUAAAAACCUGAUAGAUAAA
ensembl:lincRNA C54A12.9 ncRNA